rnacentral:rRNA from 1 species
UACGAAGGGGGCUAGCGUUGCUCGGAAUCACUGGGCGUAAAGCGCACGUAGGCGGCUUUCUAAGUCAGGGGUGAAAUCCUGGAGCUCAACUCCAGAACUGCCUUUGAUACUGGAGAGCUUGAGUCCGGGAGAGGUGAGUGAACUCCGAGUGUAGAGGUGAAAUUCGUAGAUAUUGGGAAGAACACCGGUGGCGAAGGCGGCGCUCUGGACCGAGACUGACGCUGAGGCGCGAAAGCGUGGGGAGCAAACAGGG